rnacentral:rRNA from 1 species
UACGGGGGGGGCAAGCGUUGUUCGGAAUUACUGGGCGUAAAGGGCUCGUAGGUGGUCAACUAAGUCAGACGUGAAAUCCCUCAGCUUAACUGGGGAACUGCGUCUGAUACUGGAUGGCUUGAGUUCGGGAGAGGGAUGCGGAAUUCCAGGUGUAGCGGUGAAAUGCGUAGAGAUCUGGAGGAACACCGGUGGCGAAGGCGGCAUCCUGGACCGACACUGACACUGAGGAGCGAAAGCCAGGGGAGCAAACGGG